rnacentral:rRNA from 1 species
GAUGAACGCUGGCGGCGUGCCUAAUACAUGCAAGUCGAGCGAACAGACGAGGAGCUUGCUCCUCUGACGCUAGCGGCGGACGGGUGAGUAACACGUGGAUAACCUACCUAUAAGACUGGGAUAAAUUCGGGAAACCGGAGCUAAUACCGGAUAAUAUAUUGAACCGCAUGGUUCAAUAGUGAAAGACGGUUUUGCUGUCACUUAUAGAUGGAUCCGCGCCGCAUUAGCUAGUUGGUAAGGUAACGGCUUACCAAGGCGACGAUGCGUAGCCGACCUGAGAGGGUGAUCGGCCACACUGGAACUGAGACACGGUCCAGACUCCUACGGGAGGCAGCAGUAGGGAAUCUUCCGCAAUGGGCGAAAGCCUGACGGAGCAACGCCGCGUGAGUGAUGAAGGUCUUCGGAUCGUAAAACUCUGUUAUUAGGGAAGAACAAAUGUGUAAGUAACUAUGCACGUCUUGACGGUACCUAAUCAGAAAGCCACGGCUAACUACGUG